UCCUACGGGAGGCAGCAGUGGGGGAUAUUGCACAAUGGGGGAAACCCUGAUGCAGCGACGCCGCGUGGAGGAAGAAGGUUUUCGGAUUGUAAACUCCUGUCGUUAGGGACGAUAAUGACGGUACCUAACAAGAAAGCACCGGCUAACUACGUGCCAGCAGCCGCGGUAAAACGUAGGGUGCAAGCGUUGUCCGGAAUUACUGGGUGUAAAGGGAGCGCAGGCGGACCGGCAAGUUGGAAGUGAAAACUAUGGGCUCAACCCAUAAAUUGCUUUCAAAACUGCUGGCCUUGAGUAGUGCAGAGGUAGGUGGAAUUCCCGGUGUAGCGGUGGAAUGCGUAGAUAUCGGGAGGAACACCAGUGGCGAAGGCGACCUACUGGGCACCAACUGACGCUGAGGCUCGAAAGCAUGGGUAGCAAACAGGAUUAGAUACCCUGGUAGUCC
rnacentral:rRNA from 1 species